rnacentral:rRNA from 1 species
GGGUGCGAUCAUACCAGAACUAAUAUACCGGAACGCAUCAGAACUCCAAAGUUAAGCAUACUUGGGCAAGAGAAUUCUUUCUAGGUGACAUCGUGGGAAGUCCUUGUGUCGCAUCCC